UGAGGAAUAUUGGUUAAUCUGCGAAAGCGGGAACCAGCAACGCCGCGUGCACGAUGACGGCCUUCGGGUUGUAAAGUGCUUUUUGAAGGGAUGAGGAAGGACAGUACCUUCAGAAUAAGCCUCGGCUAACUACGUGCCAGCAGCCGCGGUAAAACGUAGGAGGCGAGCGUUAUCCGGAUUUACUGGGCGUAAAGCGUGUGUAGGCGGUUUGAUAAGUUGGAUGUGAAAGCUCCCGGCUCAACUGGGAGAGGUCGUUCAAAACUAUCAGACUAGAGAGUGGUAGAGGGAGGUGGAAUUCCGCGUGUAGUGGUGAAAUGCGUAGAUAUGCGGAGGAACACCAGUGGCGAAAGCGGCCUCCUGGCCCAUUUCUGACGCUCAGACACGAAAGCUAAGGUAGCAAACGG
rnacentral:rRNA from 1 species